rnacentral:rRNA from 1 species
UACGGAGGGAGCUAGCGUUGUUCGGAAUUACUGGGCGUAAAGCGCACGUAGGCGGCGAUUCAAGUCAGAGGUGAAAGCCCGGGGCUCAACCCCCGGGAACUGCCUUUGAAACUAGAUUGCUAGAAUCCUGGAGAGGUGAGUGGAAUUCCGAGUGUAGAGGUGAAAUUCGUAGAUAUUCGGAGGAACACCAGUGGCGAAGGCGGCUCACUGGCUCGGUACUGACGCUGAGGUGCGAAAGCGUGGGGAGCAAACAGG